rnacentral:lncRNA from 1 species
GAGAGGGUGCACGUGACGCUGGGCAGAUGCUGCCUGCUGAGGGUGGGGACAGGGGGGUGACCAGGUCCAGAGGGAGGGACCAGGUUGAAUGUUCUGGGCUACUGCUGCCUUUGUAGGGCCCCGCUCCUGCAGCUGGGAUGGGAAGGCAGGAGGUGGAAUCAGAGCCGAAGGGAGAGGGCGUUCCUGCCUCCGUGCUGGUGCCAGCCAGAGCUGGCAGGCAGGGUAGGGGCCUAGACAUUCCCCCGAGCCCUGCCUGUUUACUUGAAGUUCAUCGGAGGAGCACUCUGACGCACUCGUUCCUCGGCCUGGUGCCAAGGACCCGUGGUGACCCUUUCCUCCUUCCCUCUCCGAGUCCCUUUCCUCCAGAUCUCAGCUUGGCUGAUGCUUCCUCCAGGCAGCCCACCCAGAUUAUGCCCUCAUCCACUGUCACAGUGGCCCCUUGACUCUGCUCCCCAGCGUUCUGAGUUGUGCCAUGUGAUAAAUGUCUGGUUACACUCUACCCACCUCCCAACCCUGUCCACAUCUCCCUUAUUUCCCCCUCAUUAGACUGGGAGGCAGGCCCCUCUGUGCCUACUUAUUUGAGACCUAGUGCUUGAAGCCUCUCAUGUUACCGGUGUAAUGAUGGCACCUGCCAGCUAAUGAUGAGACCACACAGUCGGUUCUGAGCCCAGGGCCCAGCAUCGGUGAGCGCAAGGCUGUGGGUGAUUGUUAAGUGGCCACCUUGAGGGCGGGACCUGCUCCGGUCUGCAGGAUGGCCCUGCUGGACCAGUGUGCUACUGAGAGCCUGGUCAGGAGCCCCAGGCCAGCCCUCAGCUGGAGUGAUUGUGGGGCCAGGCUGAACCCACCAUCUUCCUGCUCUGAUUGGGAGAAGCUGGGCAGUGGCCCGCACACAGGACAGGCACCAUGGUCCCCAUAGGGGAUGGCUCGUCACGGGAGCAGGACUGAGACCCAGGAGCCAAGAACGAGCCUCUCGAGCCACCAUCAGGCCUGUCUCCGGGCUCUGCCUCUUACUGGUUGUGGGACCUUGGGCAAAUCACUCACCUUCUCUGCCUCGGUUUCCUCAUCUGUGAAAUGGGGAUGCUAAUGGCACCUGGUGUCAUUGUGAGGAUUAAAUGACAUCACGCUGCAUAAAACAUUUGCUGUUGUGCCCACAGAAAGUACUCGACAAAGGUCAGCUCUGGGUGUUUUGCUAAGUAGCCUGCAAAUAUUUAUCUCCCUCAACUCCGCACUCUCCUGGGUCCUUCUCCAUUCUACUCUCACCUUCAGACUUCUGCCAGUGGUCAAAGGCAAACCACGCCUGUGCCUCUCUCACCCUUUGUAAGAAUCUCUGCAGAAACCACAAAAAUGCAAGGCACGUAACGUGAAUGGUGGACUGUGGGCCGGGAGCUCUGUGGGGGAUGGAGUUCUGCAGGGAACAUUCCAGCAACCCUCCUAGCAACGCUGAAACCAACUCACCAGGGCCACAGGACACAUCUCUCCCACAGGGCAACCAGCCCUGGCAUUGCCCCUACGGGUCACUCACUCUGGACUGAGGCCCCCAGGGAGUGCCCAGGGCAGGACCCUGGCAAGCGGAGAAGCCAAGGCCGCCUUCUGCCUGAGAUUGGGGGGAUCCUGGGCCUGUUAUCUCCCGAGGGUGCUGGGCAGCCAUUGUGGACACACAGAAUAGGGAACUCCUGAAUCAGGCACUGGGCUGGGGUCCCCCAAGCCCACCCCCGCGGCACUCAUCCCACAGUGUGAGGUUGUAAGGAGUGUGAUCCCCAUGCCUGCCCUCGCUCAUUUCACCACCACGGCCGCCCACUGAGGGACCACUAUUCACCCCACUGAAGGAGAUGGAGGCUGAGGCUCAGAGAGGGCCAGAGCUUGCCUGAUACCACCCAGCUCCUCACAUUGGAAAACCCAAAUCCAGAAGAGCAGAAGGCUAUCCACCUCAGCUCCCACCUCCCUCACAGUCCCCUGGGGAUGGGCAGCCAAGUCCUUGGGGGAAGGGACACUGGGCUGGGGCCUGGACGGCAGACCCAAGGCUGGGUGGACUCCGGUAGGCCAGCUGUGGGAGGGGUGACCGGUGAGGGGAGGUCUCUUGCUGUUUGGAUUCCAUUUCCUCGGCCUCCCUCCUCACUAUUGCUGCCACUCCCCACACUGCUUAGGUUGUGGGGUCUGAGACUGCCUCUUGCCUCCUGCGGCUGAGCCACUGAGGUCCAGGGGCUGAUGGGCCCAAGGGUCUCUGGGGCGUGGCCCCCCAUCACAGGUUGAGGUGCAUUUGGCCCAGACCUGCAGCUUCUGGGGUGGGGGGGAGUUGCCACAUCAUUUGGUGAUGAAGAUAGCGGCUGUUUCCUCUGGCCUGGGGGCCAGGGCAGGACCAGCCACUUCCUCUCAAGGCCACGGGCCUCUAAAAACAAUACUCAGGUGCCCAUGUGCUGGGCACUAUGCCAGCCUGGGUGCUCGCUGUGGGUGCCCACAGGCUCCGGGAACAGAGUGGGGAGGAACGGGGCUGACAUAUCACAGGGAGUGAAUGGCUGGCCGAGCCGCUGCCCCCAACCUCACAGCAGGGACCGUCCCUGGGCAGGGACUCCCUGCUCGUUCACACCCUGGCCUAUCAAGUGGGUUGGAUUCCAGGGAAACGGAGGCUCUGCCCGUUCUCUCAUUCUUCCUGCCUCAGUUUCCUCAUCUACACCAUGGGCCUUCUAAGAGCAUCCUCCCAGCAUGGCAUGGUCUGGGGGCCCAAUGACCUGGGUUUAAACUGCAGCAACCACAUGUGUGAGUGGGGAGACCUUGGGCAGGUUGCUUGACCUCUUUGUAUUCACGUUUCCCAUCUGUAAAAUUGGGCACUGCCUGUGGCACCCAUACCACUGUCGGGAGAAUUCAAGCACUGGGACCCCGGGAAGUGCUCAGUAUCCAUGGAGGACGGAUGUACCAGAGGAGGGCUCAGGGAGGAGACCCCUGGGGCAGGGGCCUGAAGGGGCCUUGAUCCAAGGUGGGUGUUGGGGAGACAAGGACAUCACCCUGAGACCCAACUGAGGACAGGGAUGUGGUGACAGAGGGACUGAACAUGGUGGGUAGAGGGCCUGGGGGACCCCCAUCAGGGCAGCCAGAAGGCGGGGAUCACUAGGCCAACUUCAGGGGACCCACAGGCCCAAUACCGCAGGGUCUCCGAUUCUGAUCUCCUGCAGUGUAGCUUCAUUAAACAAACAUGAUGAGAGGCUGUGAUUUUGAACUGAGCUCCUGUACUAGGCCCCAACAGACCAGACCAAACCAAAAUGGAGGCACUCAUGCCAAAUGCCACAUCAUCAAACCGAAGCUUUAAGGAAGCAGACAGAGCCCAAAACCACAGACCAGUUUCUCCGGGAAGCAGGAGAUUCCAGUCCACCUGAGCCGGCAUCAUCAGGUCCCCUCUGCCUUACCCCUUAGAAAAAAGCAGUCCGCUUAGAAAAAAGCAGUCUGCAGCGAUCCGGUAUUAGGCGGUUUGGUGUUUCCUAUUUUUCUGUUUCCUCCUUUCUGCCUUAUGAACCCCCUGCUCUGCCACUGCCUGGUGGGAGCUCUCACUCCAUUUUGUAGAAUGGAGGCUGUCCGGAUUCACGAAUCAUGAAUAGAAGCCAAUUUGAUCUAUAACUAAAUGUGUUGUCAUUUUGUCUUUUGAUGGCCUUAAGCUGGAUUUUCAUGAGGCCUCCCAAAGCUCAGCAGCCCCUCCCUUGGGGAGCCAGGGACCAGCGUAUCCCCUCAUUGGUGGCUCGGGCCAACCCAGCCCCGGGUCACAAAGAGGCUGAACAGCCUCGGCUCCCUGAUGGGGCACAGUUCCCGGGAUGAGAAGUGCCUCCUGCAGGCGGGGCGGGGCUGGCUGGCCACUCCUUUCUUGGACCCUGACAAAGUCCAUUGCUAAGAAUGAUUCUUUCCCAGAGUCAUUCAUGGCCACAUCCCUGCAUCAGCACUGGGCAUGCAGGCUGGUGCCCAGGAAACGGCUGUUGCUGGAAGGGAUACUUGACCCCUGUGGGGAAGGGGCGCACAGUCCUUCCUGGGGCAGCUGGACCCAGAGCUGUUCCCUUGGUUCCCUUGGAGGGUGUCCGGGAAUCCCAGGAAAAGGAGGCGGUGGCAACCCAGCUCGGACAACGGAAGGGUGCCUGCUGGCCAGGGGGGUGCCCGGGACCUCGCUGCCACUCCCCAGAUCUGCCUCUCCUCCUUCCGCUUUCUCCCCCAGCAGGCAGGCAGAUGAGCUCAGCCAGGACACAGUGGCCUCUGAGUGCAGCUGCCGGUGGCUAGGCCCGCCUGGGCUGCCUGUAACCCGGAGUUGCUGAGCUGGACUCUGGCCCGACUGCUGGCCCACUACAGCCCCAGCCUCCCCGGGAUACUCUACCUGAGGCUCUGCCAAGCUGCCCUUCCUCCUGGCUGUCCCGCUCUGCCUGGUGGCCCUGCUGUUAAGAAAUGUCCAACGCAGGGCCAGUCCCCGGGGGAGGGGUGGGGCGGAGUUGCCCUAGCCUCGUGCCUGACUCUGGCUCUGGGCGGGCUGGAGGCUGCAAGCCAAGAUUUCACCACCGCCUCCCUCGGGGGCCUCGACAUCUCCUCCCAGACCACAGAGAAGAAGUCAACGCCCAGAGGGCGCCAGGCUAGAGCCACACAGCAGGGCUGAGCUCCGAGCUGAGGGGCAGCCUGAGGAGGAGGAGGAGAGGCUGUGCAGCAGGGCUGAGCACUGAGCUGAGGGCCAGCCUGAGGAGGAGGAGUGGGGCAGUGGGCCCUGGGAAUCCCGGUGUGGGGUGGGGAACUAUUAUUGUAUUAAUUAUAUUCUAUUAUAAUAUUAUGUGGAAUGUUAUGGCCCAGAAUAGCAAGGAAGUCUCGACCCCCCACUCCCAGCCUUCCCUCAAUGCCUCCCCUAAGGAAUAAGACCACUACUACUCCUGCUGCCCUCCUCCUACCACCUUGCCUGGUUUACAAGACAGGAGGAAAGAGAGAAGGCAAAAAGUUAGAAAAAAACAGAAGUAAGAGAAAUAGCCAGAAGACCUUGGCGCCACCACCUGGCCCUGGUAGUUAAAAAAAAGUGAUAAUAAUAUCAACCCCUGACCUAAACUACUUGUGUUAUCUGUAAAUUCCAGACAUUGUAUGAGAAAGCACUGCAAAACUUUCUGUUCUGUUAGCUGACGCAUGCAGCCCCCGGUCACGUUCCCCGAGCUUGCUCGAUUUAUCACGACCCUUUCACGUGGACCCCUUAAAGUUGUAAGCCUUUAAAAAGGCCAAGAAUGUCUUUUUCAGGGAGCUCGGCUCUUGACGCAAGUCUGCUGAUGCUCCCAGCUGAAUAAACCUCUUCCUUCUUUAA